AGUCUUUUUCUCUCUCCUA
rnacentral:miRNA from 6 species